rnacentral:misc_RNA from 2 species
AACGCACAUUGCGCCCGCCAGUAUUCUGGCGGGCAUGCCUGUUCGAGCGUCAUUUCAACCCUCAAGCCCAGCUUGGUGUUGGGAUCUGUGUGCAAACACAGUCCCCAAAUUGAUUGGCGGUCACGUCGAGCUUCCAUAGCGUAGUAAUUUACACAUCGUUACUGGUAAUCGUCACGGCCACGCCGUUAAACCCCAACUCCUGAAUGUUGACCUCGGAUCAGGUAGGAAUAACCGCUGAACUUAA